GCAUAUAAAAGUGUCUCAAUGCACUGUGCUGAAAUUUCAACCAGAGCUGAAGGAUAAACAUCCACCCCAAAACAUAGUCAAACAAGCAGCAUGAAGUUUCUUAAAAAUAUGCUGAGAUUUUGGGAAGAGAGGAGUUUUGGAUUUUCUUUGAUUCUGGUGGCAGUUGAAAAGGUUACAGAGAUUCAGUUUGAUUGCCCGUGUUAUCAACGGCUAAACAUUGCUUUACUAUUGACAAUGAGCAUCGGUACUGUUCUUCUUGUGACGACCACAAUGAUUUUGUUUUGUGAAAAACCAUCUAGUACUUCACAGAAAAUUGACCUUGCAGUUCCACCAGUUACAUGGGCGGUUUUGAUGUUUCUGGAUGGCCGGUAUUUGGCCUGCGGAUUUACUCAUUGGGAAGGCAGUUAUGUCUUGGAUGACAAUAACCCAUCACAGAAAUGGUGCAAGCCUAGUAAUGUAUCUGAAAUAGAUGACAAAAGAAAACUACACAAUUACUGGACAUCAGUGUCACAGGUGUUGGGUUAUAUUCUGAUGAUUGUGGCCUGCAUCAUUACGCUUAUCUUCUGUUUCAAACAUCGGGGUGCUCCCAGGAGAAACGAAGUAGAAAACAGACAACCAGCUCAAGAUGAAGAUCCGAGUGCUAUUCCCCUCAACUCUCCUCAAGCAUCUAAUGAGUUACAAGAUCAAUAAAGAAAGCGUUGAUUCCCCUGGACAAACCAUGGUUCUCUGAAUUAAGUUGGAUUUGACACCUACCGAUUCCAGAUUUGCCCUGUUUCCUGUCUGUUCUCAUGUCUCUGUGUGUGAACCCCACGUGACCCGUGCUCCUCUGUGUUGUUCCCCAGUUAUUUUCCAUUCACCUGUGUGUAAUUUGUAGCUUUGCCCUCUAGCCCCAGGUGUUUCUACUUCCUUUGUGUGUUUCCUGUCUACUUAUAGCCCUGUGUUUCAGUCUGUAUUUGUCGGUCUUUGCACCUUCCUCUGUUGUUUUGUCUCUCCGCGUUUCUUCAUAUUCAUAGCCCUAGUCCUUUGUUCCGUAUUUAUCGUCUUGUUUAUUUCUUGUUUUUCCUAGUUUAUUUCUCCUUGUUUAUUUCCUUGUUCUGUUUGUUUCCUUUAUAUAGUUUUAGUUAUUAGUUUGAUUCUUUGUUUAGC
rnacentral:lncRNA from 1 species